GAUGAACGCUAGCUACAGGCUUAACACAUGCAAGUCGAGGGGCAGCAUGAACUUAGCUUGCUAAGUUUGAUGGCGACCGGCGCACGGGUGAGUAACACGUAUCCAACCUGCCGAUGACUCGGGGAUAGCCUUUCGAAAGAAAGAUUAAUACCCGAUGGCAUAGUUCUUCCGCAUGGUGGAACUAUUAAAGAAUUUCGGUCAUCGAUGGGGAUGCGUUCCAUUAGGUUGUUGGCGGGGUAACGGCCCACCAAGCCUUCGAUGGAUAGGGGUUCUGAGAGGAAGGUCCCCCACAUUAGAACUGAGACACGGUCCAAACUCCUACGGGAGGCAGCAGUGAGGAAUAUUGGUCAAUGGACGAGAGUCUGAACCAGCCAAGUAGCGUGAAGGAUGACUGCCCUAUGGGUUGUAAACUUCUUUUAUACGGGAAUAAAGUGAGGCACGUGUGCCUUUUUGUAUGUACCGUAUGAAUA
rnacentral:rRNA from 1 species